rnacentral:rRNA from 1 species
AUUGAACGCUGGCGGCAGGCCUAACACAUGCAAGUCGAGCGGGGUUUUCGGACCUAGCGGCGGACGGGUGAGUAAUGCGUAGGAAGCUGCCCGAUAGAGGGGGAUACCAGUUGGAAACGACUGUUAAUACCGCAUAAUGUCUACGGACCAAAGUGUGGGACCUUCGGCCACAUGCUAUCGGAUGCGCCUACGUGGGAUUA